CUUCUGACUUUGGACGCUUGAAGUGUGAUCGUGAAUUUUGAUUGUAUAGCGUAUUUUGUAUCUUUAAAAGUGAUUAUGACAGUACAAUUAAAUUUUAAGUGCUAACCUAUUUGUGACAAACCUCAUUGUAACUAGUUAGAAUACUGGAUCUUCAGCAUCACAUCCUCAUGAAAAAUUGACGUUUAUGAACUGCUGCCACAAACUUUUAGCAUCAUAAAAGUGAACAUUUUCUUAAUCUCACUUGCUUGUAAGGGGUUUCCUGCCUGUUGUGAGCGAAACGUGCGGCAGCGGUGUGGAGCUCCGCUGCGCUGCCCGCUGCCGCCCCCGACCCAGGGGUUGGAGGAAUGACACCUCACACCUCGCCCUCGCUAGCCCACUGCGAUACGCCGCGUAAGGAGCUGCUACCGGGCAAACCAACACAACCGACAGUCCGUGAGAAAGCGUCAUAUAGAGCGAAGGAUUGUCAUCUGCUUUCCGAACUGUUGGAGUUAUCGAACAGAUCGAGAAAUACUGAACACCCUCGGUGCGUUUCGUUCAUGCAAACAGUUUAAUGGACAUUUUACUUUCACGUUUUCCUCUCCGACGUUAAAACUGAUCUCAAUAGAAGUUCGCAGUAGCAUCGAACAUUAUUUGUGAAAGUCAAGACGCAAUCCGCUUUUUGUAAAUAAAAAUAGACCCCUGCAGUUGAUUUGUGCGUUUUUUAUUUUUCUUAGUAUGUUAACUUUUGUAGUCAGUAAACCUUUUCUGCUUAAAUGUAGUUGGUUCGAAAUUUCUGAGCCCCUUUUUAACAGAUUGUCUAUUAAAGUGUAAGAUUUCGCCCUACUACAGCUACAAAAAAUGGCACAGAAGCUACUGAAAUCAAUGUUUUUUGCCAAGUAUCUUUUCUUAAUUGUGUAACAAUUUCUGUUGAAUUGUCGAUGUUGUAUUAAUGUUCCACUUGUCUUUUAAAAAUAAACUGCAUUAGAUUUUUAA